rnacentral:misc_RNA from 1 species
UUUUUUUUUUUUUUUUUUUUUUGUGAUUUGCUGCCUACACACAAAGUUCUCCAAGUCCUCCUGGCCUCUCAUUGCCCUAAUAUGAAACUGAUUCUUAUUCAAGAAAAACUUCAAAUAUGACUCCUUCAAGAUUUCCAACCAGUGCUCGGGUCCCAGGUACUUCAUUCAUCCUCAUUCCAUGCCGAGUAGCUUCUUUGAUGACCAGUGAAUCCAUGAUCUUUGCUCGUGAUACAUAAGCUAGUAUGAAUUUGCACUGUUCUCCCCUAAAGCGAAGAAGCUGUUCCACAGUAUCAAAAAGCAAAGGAACACUUGACUGCUGAAAGCAUAUGUCAGCUCCAAGAAUCAGAUCAAAUCCUCCCGAAUAUCUUUUUAAAAUUUGGUUUAUUUGAUCAGAAUUUCCCCACUCUAGCCUCUCAGCUUCUAAUUCAGCACAACAAUUUGGGUUCACAGAAGGUGCAUGAAGCUCUAUAUUUUUCUUGAGGAUCUUCAACACUUCAUCAUUGUGAUCAGUUAACACAACUUGACGACAAAAUCUGCCACAGAGUAUCCCAGUAACUCCUACACCAGAUCCUAACUCAAUAACAGAACAUCCUUGGAGCAUCUCAACAUUUUUUGAGAGAUAAUCAUUCAAAAGCUGGGCACCAGGCCAUACCAGUUGCCCUGUCAAAUCAAAAUCAGUAGAAGCAGAUUGGAGACAGAGAAGCUGAAGAACAUGAGACCCAAAUGUAAAAGUGGUCAGCUGGUAAUCGUCAUUGAUAAAGAAAGAUUCGUCUAAGCAAACAAUUUCCUCCUCUUUUUCUUUUUCUUCGUCUUCACUAUUCAUUCUUCUGCUUAAUUCAUUCCUGAUAAUCUUUCUUUCUCCGUUCUCGUCCAUCUCGUCCCUAUGGAUGUAGUGGGAUUGUUGGUAGCUGUGCAAGAAUCGCAGCGGGGGCGGUGAGCGGCGGAGGAAAAGAAAAUAGUGUUGCGGUGAAUGAAGCUG